GACGAACGCUGGCGGCGUGCUUAACACAUGCAAGUCGAACGGAAAGGCCCUGCUUUUGUGGGGUGCUCGAGUGGCGAACGGGUGAGUAACACGUGAGUAACCUGCCCUUGACUUUGGGAUAACUUCAGGAAACUGGGGCUAAUAACGGAUAGGAGCUCCUGCUGCAUGGUGGGGGUUGGAAAGUUUCGGCGGUUGGGGAUGGACUCGCGGCUUAUCAGCUUGUUGGUGGGGUAGUGGCUUACCAAGGCUUUGACGGGUAGCCGGCCUGAGAGGGUGACCGGCCACAUUGGGACUGAGAUACGGCCCAGACUCCUACGGGAGGGAGCAGUGGGGAAUAGUGCACAAUGGGCGGAAGCCUGAUGCAGCAACGCCGCGUGCGGGAUGACGGCCUUCGGGUUGUAAACCGCUUUCGCCUGUGACGAAGCGUGAGUGACGGUAAUGGGUAAAGAAGCACCGGCUAACUACGUG
rnacentral:rRNA from 1 species